AGUGAACGCUGGCGGUAUGCCUAACACAUGCGAGUCGAACGGCAGCACAGUAAGCUUUUGCUCUUACGGGUGGCGAGUGGCGGACGGGUGAGGAAUACAUCGGAAUCCACUUUUUCGUGGAGGAUAACGGAGGGCAACUGACGCUAAUACCGCAUACGUUCAACCGCUGGAAGCAGGAGAUCAUGGGACCUUGGGCGAUUGAAUGAGCCGAUGUCGGAUUAGCUAGUUGGCGGGGUAAAGGCCCACCAAGGCGACGAUCCGUAGCUGGCCUGAGAGGAUGAUCGGCCACACUGGAACUGAGACACGGUCCAGACUCCUACGGGAGGCAGCAGUGGGGAAUAUUCGGCAAUGGGCGAAAGCCUGACGCAGCAACACCGCGUGGGUGAAGAAGGUCUUCGGAUCGUAAAACCCUUUUGUUGGGAAAGAACAACAGUAGAUUUAAAUACGCAUGUCCUGACGGUACCUAAUCAGAAAGCAACGGCUAACUACGUG
rnacentral:rRNA from 1 species